rnacentral:tRNA from 1 species
GGGGUUGUGGCUCAGCGGUAGAGCGCCCGCUUAGCAUGUUGGAAGUCCUGUGUUCGAUCCUCAGCACCACA